CCACCUGAUCCCAUGCCGAACUCAGAAGUGAAACGCCGUAGCGCCGAUGGUAGUGUGGGGUCUCCCCAUGCGAGAGUAGGACACUGCCAGGCA
rnacentral:rRNA from 2 species